rnacentral:rRNA from 1 species
GCGAAAGGGAAUCCGGUUCCUAUUCCGGAACCUAGCAGCGGAACCGUCUUAUAAUCGGGCCCUCAUUGAGAGUUCGUCGGGGUAACCCAAAAUGACUCAGAGACGCCGUCGGAAAAUCCAGGAAGAGUUUUCUUUUCUGUAUAAGCGUUCGAGUUCCAUGGAAUCCUCUAGCAGGGAGAUAUGGUUUGGAACGCGAAGAGCACCGCAGUUGCGGCGGUGUCUGGAUUUUUCCCUCGGACCUUGAAAAUCUGAGAGAGGGCCACGUGGAGGCGUCGCGCUAGAUCGUACCCAUAUCCGCAGC